CGGGAGCAGCCAUUUUCACUUUCAGUUCAAUUACUCUCCUCAAAGGUGAUAACAGAUGAUCACCCCGGGGCGGCACAAAACGACCAGUAUUUUUGUGUGUGUCUGGGUGUAUGUUUUCAAAUGGGAAGCUGGCCUCCAGAUUCUUACGAAACAGGACAGCUACAUUACAUUGGAUUUUUUGUGUAGUGUUUUUCCGUUUUUUUCUAGUGAUGGUUUUCAAGUUUUACAGCACACACUCAAUGGAACGCGCGAUGUCUCGUGUCUUUGAAGACGACUCCCCCUCCUAGAAACCACCGGUACAUCUCGCGUAUUUUAAAUGCAAAAAUAUAGUUCUGAAUGUAUAGAUGAA